rnacentral:sRNA from 1 species
UGAUGGCUCCAUGUGUGUUCCUCCCGAAGCUGCAUGUUCAGCCAAAGUGGACAACCAUCCCCGCUAGAGGAGGGCCAUUCUUUGGUCAAGUAUAUACGAGUAGCUGCACUCUCCUGUCAGAACCUCCGAACAAGUUUUCAAGGUUCAUUUGUAGAACAGAGUAGUCAAGCUUCCAAGAUUCCAGACAUAACCAUAUGAGGUACUGCAUGUGGCAGUCUGCCUUCAAAA